CCCUAAACCACCUUCACACCACCCUCCUAUUGUUAAGCCACCAGUUCACAAACCACCAAAGCAUUCUCCUACUCCUAAACCACCAGUUCAUAAACCACCAAGAUAUCCUCCUAAACCAUCACCUUGUCCACCCCCAUCAUCAACACCAAAACCACCUCAUCAUCCCAAACCCCCAGCAGUACACCCACCACAUGUUCCAAAACCACAUCCACCUUAUGUUCCAAAACCACCAAUUGUUAAACCUCCAAUAGUACAUCCACCUUACGUACCAAAACCCCCAGUUGUGAAACCACCACCAUAUGUCCCUAAACCACCUGUUGUGAGACCACCCUAUGUUCCUAAACCACCAGUUGUACCUGUAACACCACCUUAUGUUCCUAAGCCACCAAUUGUUUUCCCACCACAUGUUCCUCUACCUCCAGUUGUACCAUCACCACCACCUUAUGUACCAACACCUCCAAUUGUGAAACCACCAAUUGUUUUUCCACCACAUGUUCCUCUACCUCCAGUUGUGCCUGUAACACCACCUUAUGUGCAACCACCACCUAUUGUAACUCCACCAACACCAACACCUCCAAUUGUGACACCACCAACACCACCUAGUGAAACACCUUGUCCUCCACCACCACUUGUACCUUAUCCACCACCACCAGCACAACAAACAUGUUCCAUUGAUGCUUUGAAGUUGGGUGCAUGUGUUGAUGUGCUUGGUGGACUCAUACAUAUUGGUAUAGGUGGAAGUG
rnacentral:lncRNA from 1 species